GACGAACGCUGGCGGCGUGCUUAACACAUGCAAGUCGAACGGAAAGGCCCUGCUUGCAGGGUACUCGAGUGGCGAACGGGUGAGUAACACGUGGGUGAUCUGCCCUGCACUUCUGGAUAAGCCUGGGAAACUGGGUCUAAUACCGGAUAGGAGCCAUUUUUAGUGUGAUGGUUGGAAAGUUUUUUCGGUGUAGGAUGAGCUCGCGGCCUAUCAGCUUGUUGGUGGGGUAAUGGCCUACCAAGGCGGCGACGGGUAGCCGGCCUGAGAGGGUGGACGGCCACAUUGGGACUGAGAUACGGCCCAGACUCCUACGGGAGGCAGCGGUGGGGAAUAUUGCACAAUGGGCGCAAGCCUGAUGCAGCGACGCCGCGUGGGGGAUGACGGCCUUCGGGUUGUAAACUCCUUUCGCUAGGGACGAAGCUUUUUGUGACGGUACCUAGAUAAGAAGCACCGGCUAACUACGUG
rnacentral:rRNA from 1 species